rnacentral:rRNA from 1 species
UGGGGAAUAUUGGACAAUGGGCGCAAGCCUGAUCCAGCCAUGCCGCGUGAGUGAUGAAGGCCCUAGGGUUGUAAAGCUCUUUCACCGGUGAAGAUAAUGACGGUAACCGGAGAAGAAGCCCCGGCUAACUUCGUGCCAGCAGCCGCGGUAAUACGAAGGGGGCUAGCGUUGUUCGGAUUUACUGGGCGUAAAGCGCACGUAGGCGGACUUUUAAGUCAGGGGUGAAAUCCCGGGGCUCAACCCCGGAACUGCCUUGGAUACUGGAAGUCUUGAGUAUGGUAGAGGUGAGUGGAAUUCCGAGUGUAGAGGUCAAAUUCGUAGAUAUUCGGAGGAACAACAGUGGCGAAGGCGGCUCACUGGACCAUUACUGACGCUGAGGUGCGAAAGCGUGGGGAGCAAACAGG